UGUUUCAAUUUUUAAAAGGUUUCAUAACCUCUUUCUCCUUAUCUCCCGUUUACGCCUCUCUCUCUCUCUCUCUCUCUCUCGCUCAAUUUCAAAUUCACAAUCCCAAUCUCAAACGCUCAUUAUCAUGCCUUCUUCUUUUCAUUUGUAGAGAACGAGAUGCUAGAGUGAGGGAGACAACCGGUGGGUUCCGACCACCGGUUGCGGCAAUGGUUGAUGGCCUUUAGAGUGGCCAAAGAUGAAUAAGUCGGUAACAAUCGCAAACCUCGGCGGCGGCGGAUCUAGGGUAUUGCGAUGACCAGAGACAACUGUCGUUCCCGUUUUCUUCCACGUCAACGUUUAGUGACCGAAAAGGGGAUCUGCAAAAGGAUGAUGAGUGCAAUCCCAUGGUUCUAUCUGCAAAGCAGACAACAAAGUUGGACACCAGAAGGAUCUUGAAACAACUUGCAAGGAAAAUUUAAAGUAGCUUUAAAGGAUGGUUGCAUAUUAGCUCAUGCAAAUCCCAUGACCAUGCUUCAAACCAUAGUUCACCAGAAUAAACAAAGUAUGGAUACGAUUACACAAUCAACUAUCAAAAUGAUGGUCUAGGAAAUUGUCGAGUAUAUUCAUAUUAAGGGCCUGGUUGACAUGCGAGAUCUUGGGAUGCCAUCUAAAGCCCUUUCCGAUGAUAAACGCCAUAAAACACAAGAACUGUUUCAUAUGCCAGGAGGUACAACCCUUUUUAGUCAAUUUCUAUGUGAAAAGAUCAAAAUUGGGCCUACUGGUUGUGGAUGUUGGCCCUCCUGCUGAUUGGGUAAGAUCAAUGUGCAGAGAGUUGUAAGUUGGU
rnacentral:lncRNA from 1 species